rnacentral:rRNA from 1 species
UACGUAGGGCGCAAGCGUUGUCCGGAAUUAUUGGGCGUAAAGAGCUCGUAGGCGGCCAGUUGCGUCUGCUGUGAAAUCCCGGGGCUCAACCCCGGGCGUGCAGUGGAUACGGGCUGGCUAGAGGCAGGCAGGGGAGAACGGAAUUCCCGGUGUAGCGGUGAAAUGCGCAGAUAUCGGGAGGAACACCGGUGGCGAAGGCGGUUCUCUGGACCGACACUGACGCUGAGGCGCGAAAGCGUGGGGAGCAAACAGG